rnacentral:rRNA from 1 species
AUAAGGUCCAUUGUCGAAAGGGGAACAGCCCAGAUCACCAGUUAAGGUCCCUAAAUUUAUGCUAAGUGGAAAAGGAUGUGGCGUUGCACAGACAACUAGGAUGUUGGCUCAGAAGCAGCCACCAUUUAAAGAGUGCGUAAUAGCUCACUAGUCGAGUGGCACUGCGCCGAAAAUAUACCGGGGCUAAGCAUAAUACCGAAACUGUGGGUGCACCCGUAAGGGUGCGCGGUAGGAGAGCGUUCUAAGGGCGUUGAAGGUCGAUCGUGAGGACGGCUGGAGCGCUUAGAAGUGAGAAUGCCGGCA